AAAAAAGUCUACAUGUCCAUCUCGGCUCCAUACCAGCGCGGCCCAGGCCCAAGCACUCUCUGGUAUGGCCGGCCGCCUCACCGCGGGCGAGCGGCGGCGCGACGUUCUCCCACCCAUUCCCCUCGCUGCCAGAGCCGCCGUCGCCGUUUCUUGGGGACUCUCGCAGCAGCAGCGUGCGUGAUCCGUGUGGGAAAAGAUUCCUCCUCGUCCGCGGCCUCGGCUCAAGAAGACGCGCAGGCCCGGUGCUAGGUGCGCGCGCCGUUCUCGCGGAGUCGCCAGGCGGCGCGUCAUCGCCAGGCUGACGCUUCCGCGAUGCAGGAGGUCCUGAGACUUGACCGGGAAAAAAGAACCCCUCUUACGCAGGCUUGGUUUGUCAGUUGCCAUUUGUAACCGAGACAGGAUAGACAGGAGAUACAGGAAAAAGAAAUCAUCAAAUCACACUAGAAAAGAGUGCAGUGUUCAAAUAUAUGUGCUGUGAGAUGGGCAUCAGGUUUGGCUUGUUAGCUACCAUUCAUACCUGAGAUAAGACACAGGAACAGCAAAUCGCACUAGAAAAUAGUGCCAUGAUGUCUCUAGAGAUGGCCAUCAGUUACAUUUGUUGCUGCAAAGGACAAGCUUAGCAGAGCUGUUUUGUGGGGUUUUGUGAGGCAGCCAGGCUACAAUCUGAAGGUAAGUUCUACCUGGGGCAUGCAAUGUCAUUUAUUAGGAUUGCGAAAGGUGUUGGAAACACCUUUAAAAUUUACUGGACAUUGCCUUGAGCUUUUAAAACAAGUAAAAAAACAGCUCUGCUACGCGGGUCAUUUAUUAGAUGAAUUUUACUGGACAUUGCCUUGAGCUUUUAAAACAAGUAAAAAAAUUGUUAUUAAACUGAUUUUUCCAUGUUUUUCUUUUCCUAUGUGGAAUGGAAAUAUGUUUGCUCCACCAUUCGUAGAAAAUAUUCAUACUUUUAUCUAUCUCCUGUUAUAUAUCUUUUUAAGAGCGCCGUGUAGAACCAGAUUGUAGUCCUUGCAAGCAUGCCUACACGGAACUAACCAGAUCUGUAGUUCUUUGCAUGCUGCAAUGCCAUUCUCUGGUUGCUCAGAUUUCCUCGACCUACUUCGUAACUUAUAAAUGCAAUGUUCUGUUGUUGGUUCUGACGUCUUAGGUCAUAUGGCUGUUCUGUACAUUUUAGUGUGGCAGCUCAUAUGGUGGUGGGCAUGGCUGAAAUCUGAAGUAUUAAGGCGUGCAGAGGGUGGUGUAGUAAGAUGGUAACACGUGACCUUUGCGAGUCCAGUCUGACUUCCAUGUACGAAAACAACACCAGUCAGUCAGACCAUAAGGCAUGCCUAAUCUUAAACAACAUCAACAUUCCAUCUUUGUCAACGAAGAAAGAGCUAGCUAGUAGCUUCUUACAAAGGGCCAAUCAUGACAGGGACGAUCAUCUGUCAACAUGAAGAAUUGACCACGUAGCAACCUUCACCAUAAGAAAAACACAAACUUUAAUUUAUAUAUGUAUCCAAUAAAUUAAGUUUGCUACAUCCAGGCCAAUAUCCUUAGAACAAAAGCUUUAUUGUAUAAGCUGGAGGCCUGUAAGAGCUGAUCAGUACUCAAGAUACCAAAAGAGGAGGAAACUUGCGGAACUUGGGGAAGAAGAAGGGCUUCUUCUUGAUGAAGGGGAGGAGCUUCUUGAACUUCUCAGGGUCCGUCUCAGGGUUCUGGGUCUUCUGGUCGGCAGGAGGAUGGUAGAUCGGAGUAGGUGUCGGGUGUGAGUACUCUGGAGUGGGUGGCUUGUACGUCGGCAUGGGUGUUGGGUGGUACACCGGCACGUGCGUUGGCGGCUUGUACUCUGGCACCGGUUUCUUGGGGAUGUGAGGGAUCACGAUGGGUUUCUUGGGGAUGUGAGGGAUCACGAUGGGCUUCUUGUGGAAGAGGUGCUUCUUGUGGGAAGGGUCGCAGAGGAAUGCCGAGGCGCACUCUUUGGACGAGUAGUGCAUUUUGCCAGCGACUGCAAUGAAGGUCUUCUUCUUGUCGUUGUCGCUGGAUGGCUGGACGAUCCAGGAUGGCUCCUGCCCAGGGCAUGGCUGAUUGGCCGUGCUGUGGAGCUGUGCGAAACAGUCCUGCUUCAGCUCGCCGUCCUCACGGAGGAGGUCAGCCGCGAGGGGGACGCUGAAGGUGCCAGACUUGUCAACCUUGCCGACGGCCUUGGUUUCGAACACACCGUGGGCGUCCUUGCAUUUGACUGCCACUUGAAGGCCUGAAGAAACGAAGGCAGCAUUGUCAGGUAACCUUCCGAACAAGCUUCUGAAAACUCAAGAAGUUGCCUAGCAAAAUGGCAUAGUUGGAGCAUAAGAACGUACCCUUGAAGACAGCCUCAGCUUUCAUGUUCUUCCUGGUGCAGUCGGCGCACUUGGCCAAGCCGACGACCAUGGAGGCCGCCUCACCCGCAGCAGCAUCGGCGAACACUGCUGCUAACAGGACGGCGCAGACACCGACAAGCAGGCCUCGAGACAGAGCCCCCAUUGUGGAAGCUUGGCUGGUUCUUGCGUGUUCACAAGUGGUUGUCAAGACUCAACUAGGUAAGCACUGGAUGGAUGGAGAUCAAGGAGAGCCCUUGGCCGGUUUAUAUAGGGUUCCAGGUGACUGAGCUCAACCGAAGCAUUUGGCAGAAGUUAAGUGAAACCAGUGAUCAAGGAGCUACCAAAAUCUGGCACCGGCUUUGCAGAUUUGGGAGUUAAUGCCGUUCCAAGUUGAUCAUCCUCUGUCUGAUCCACAGAUCUACCUGGCUACCAGGCUAACCACAUCUUUGUGUGUUAACCUCCACGCAUGCAGAGAUCAACAACAAUUGGCUGCAUUUAAGGAACAAUUAUUGUUGACUUUUGUUGGAAUUUUUGCUAUAGUUGUCACUUGUAGUAGAUUGUGACUAGAUGAAAUGGGUGUAGCUUAGCAUCUGGAGCAUAGGAAUUUUGGUCCAACGAUCACCUGAAUAUGUGAUGGAUGGUACCUACUUUUUGUAGGCUUGCCAAGAUAGGGAAAAGUGUUGUUAUCUUCA